UGAAUACUCGAGACAAAUCUCCAAAAUCCAAAGGGACUACGUCUGAUCUCACAACACACCACAAGCAUGAAGCUCCGUCCCUGCUUCCACCAAAUUUCCAACUUCCCAACUUCAAGUGUCGCCGAUCAGCUCCAAAUCCUCAGUUUUCUGUGAUAAAAUCCUCCCACUAAGUUUCAAAGUGCGCCCAAGUUUCGUUUGCCUCAAAGUUGUUUAUGUUUCCUCGCUAAUUCGAAGUGCAAAAUUUAACCCUUUCAAUUUUCAAUUCUCUCUUUUCAAUGGCGGUUUUAAUCUCAAUUUUCAAAAUCCCCGCCAAUUCCCUUUGCUGUGCCGUUGUUUGUCUCAUCUCAUGAUUUCAAAAUUAAGUUCCAUGUUCUAAAAUCAUUGAUAGCAACGGAUUUGCUAUCAAUCAUAAGUUUUUGAAGUUCUAGUGCUCACCGGAUUUGGAAUAAACCUCCUGCCAUCGUGGAACAUUCAUGGUCGGGCUCCGAGUCCUGAGUAUCAACCUGCCGCAACUCCAUUGUCGGAAGAGGAAAAGGCACGGUGAGGGUGUGAAAGGCUUUCGCUGGAAAACGCAGAGCCACCUCAAACAAUGCAAUUGAGCUCACCCGUGAUAGACAUGGGCAAAAUGAUUUAGAAGCUAUUUUGGCCUGGCGUGCUUUGAGAUUGAUAUAUCGAUUGGUCUGCCAUUUAAGGCGUAGAUACACCUGCGAGUUACAAGCGCUUGUUGAAAGUGAAACGCCAAUCGGUAAGGAGGACUUCGAUAGUUCGACGUCGAGUGAUCGAAAUGCUGGUUUGCUAUUGGUGUUUCACUUUCAACGAGCGCUUGUAACUCACAUGUGUAUCUGCCGCUUUAAACCCAUGGACAUGACAAAUUUAACAAUGUCUUUUGGCAGAGAUCCUUCCAUUGAUAUGAUACUUCAUGCAUGGCAUUUGAGCCGAAAAACGAAGAGUUGGGAUGAAAGUCAAGGAAGAGCAGUUUUCCGGCAGGAGCAAAUUCUGUAAACUCUACAGCGCAGAGG
rnacentral:lncRNA from 1 species